GACGAACGCUGGCGGCGUGCUUAACACAUGCAAGUCGAACGGAAAGGCCCUGCUUUUGUGGGGUGCUCGAGUGGCGAACGGGUGAGUAACACGUGAGUAACCUGCCCUUGACUUUGGGAUAACUUCAGGAAACUGGGGCUAAUACCGGAUAGGAGCUCCUGCUGCAUGGUGGGGGUUGGAAAGUUUCGGCGGUCGGGGAUGGACUCGCGGCUUAUCAGCUUGUUGGUGGGGUAGUGGCUUACCAAGGCUUUGACGGGUAGCCGGCCUGAGAGGGUGACCGGCCACAUUGGGACUGAGAUACGGCCCAGACUCCUACGGGAGGCAGCAGUGGGGAAUAUUGCACUAUGGGCGGAAGCCUGAUGCAGCAACGCCGCGUGCGGGAUGACGGCCUUCGGGUUGUAAACCGCUUUCGCCUGUGACGAAGCGUGAGUGACGGUAAUGGGUAAAGAAGCACCGGCUAACUACGUG
rnacentral:rRNA from 1 species